rnacentral:lncRNA from 1 species
AUGCUUAUUAGCUCAUAUGUUUCCAUCAUAUCGCCUCUGGGAAUCGGUCCAUCCCUUCCCUCAGUUGCUCAUGUUUCUGUGCAUAAGCAAUCAGGUCCACUGAGUACCUCCAGUGCAGGGUCUUUGUCAAGGCCACAGCCAUCUCAAGGCUCAGCUGGAGGAGGACCCAUUCCCAACCUUACCCGUGUGGCUGUUGGCAGGCCUCAGACCCGUGAUCAAUCCCUUGCCCCCUGGCCUUUCCAAAGGGCUGCUUACAGCAUGGCAGCUGACUUUCCCCAGAGAGUGGAAUCACAGAAAGAAUCCCAAGAUGAAGCUACAGUGUUUCUUUUGUUCUUUGAACUUAUAAAAAUUGGGGAUAUGUGUACUUAUAGCUGUAAGUGUAUGAUCCAAUGGCAUUAAGCAUAUUCACAGCCAGUAUCAUUAUUCAUAUUCAAAACUUCAUCAGCCCAACCAAAGCUCAAAGCUCUAAGGUCUUUACCACCUAAUCUCAAAAGGGACACACCAUCACUUCUAAUCUGCUCCUCGGAAACAAGUCACUAAAUCUAGCCCACACUCAUGGGAAGAAGAUUACACAGGGUGAGAACACCAAGAAAGUGGGUAUCCUUGAUGACCAUCCUAGAGGCUGACUACCAUAGAAGCUUUGUGAUCCUAGACUUAACCUCACUAAGCCUCAGUUCUAUCCUUUGUAAAUCAAGCAUAAUAUCUACAUCACAGAACUAUGCUCAUGUCCAAGGGAAAAACCACCACACUUUCUGCAUGUUAGCAUGAGAGAAAAUGCAUGUCCUUCAGCCGUGAUAUUUGACCACCUUGAACUGUGUCUUUCUGCACAGCCUCUUAUGUUCUCUAUGAUGAUUCAGUAACUGUCACAUCUUCAGACCCUUGACAGCAUGAGAAGAACCCUGGCGAAACAGGCAGCAAUCUCUAAAUAUUCAUAGUAUAAUCUUUAGGCAAAGCCAAGCUUCCUCUGAAGAAGCCUAUGCUGGACAAUAAUGAGUUUAUAUGUUCCCAUUGUAUUACCUCUGGGAAUCGGUUCACCCCAUCCCUCAGUUGCUCAUGUUCACCACCAUGAUGGUCUCCUUGUUCCAUUAUGGUUUACUGUCUUUCUUCCAUGCAAAUUCCCAAACAUCCCUUUAAUGUGUCUCCUCUCUUUCCUGAUGAGCUGUCCUGUGCAGUGAAUAAGAAGCAGUCAGUACCUCUUCAACUCUGUAUGUGGGAUUAUGCAAUGAGCAAGCAAGCUGCUUUUAAAACUAUCCUUUAAAUUUUUACAAAAUAGCAACAUAUAUUUCCAUUUUUGUCACCUCUCAAGGUUGAUCCUAAACAGGUCAGGGGUUCAUUUCAAACACCAGUUUACAGGUGAGUUCUGGGUUUACCAUGCAUUCAACCGUGUCUUUUUGCAUCUUCUGUAGUUCUUUUAAGGGACUGUCAGUUUCGAUCCAGAGCUAAUCAGCUGUGUAUCAAUUCCAUUGUACUUUUAAGCCAAAGAAGUAAAUUAAUAUUCUGUACCAAGUUUUCCAAUGAUAAGUAUUUUGGGAAGACUAUUAAAAACAUUUGAAAUUAAAAUAGUUGACUGGCUAAUGCUCAAAAACCAAAAAUAAUUACUGAGCAGUGUUUUCCAAAGUGUGGGCUGUGGAAUGAAAUAUUAUUUGUUUGCCCACUGACCAAAAUUAAAUUGAUAAUCUCUAAAGUGGAUGAGAAUAUGGUGAAGCAGUCAUAGAUGGUUUGCUGCUGGGAGUAUAAAUUGGACUUGUCCGUAGGGAGACAAGUUGGCAGCCUCUAUCGGAACUGAAAAUGUAUGUGUCCUUUGACCCAGAAAUUCGACUUUUGGAAAUUAAUCUUAAAUCAUCCUUGGCUUAGUCCUUUGGCUUAGUCACUCAGUCAUGACCGACUCUUUGCCACCCCUUGGACUGUAGCCCACCAGGCUCCUCUGUCCAUG